rnacentral:rRNA from 1 species
AUUGAACGCUGGCGGAAUGCUUUACACAUGCAAGUCGAGCGGCAGCACGGGGGCAACCCUGGUGGUGAGCGGCGAACGGGUGAGUAAUACAUCGGAACAUGCCCAGUCGUGGGGGAUAACACUUCGAAAGAAGUGCUAAUACCGCAUACGUCCUGAGGGAGAAAGCGGGGGAUCUUCGGACCUCGCGCGAUUGGAGUGGCCGAUGUCAGAUUAGCUAGUUGGGGGGGUAAAGGCCUACCAAGGCAACGAUCUGUAGCUGGUCUGAGAGGAUGAUCAGCCACAGGUGGCCUGAGACACGGCCCAGACUCCUACGGGAGGCAGUAGUGGGGAAUUUUGGACAAUGGGGGCAACCCUGCUCCAGCCAUUCCGCGUGAGUGAAGAAGGCCUUCGGGUUGUAAAGCUCUUUCGGCAGGAACGAAACGGCGAGCUCUAACAUAGCUUGCUAAUGACGGUACCUGAAGAAGAAGCACCGGCUAACUACGUGCCAGCAGCCGCCGUAACAC